rnacentral:rRNA from 1 species
ACGUACACUCCUACGGGAGGCAGCAGUGGGGAAUAUUGCACAAUGGGCGCAAGCCUGAUGCAGCGACGCCGCGUGGGGGAUGAAGGCCUUCGGGUUGUAAACUCCUUUCGCUAGGGACGAAGCUUUUUUGUGACGGUACCUAGAUAAGAAGCACCGGCUAACUACGUGCCAGCAGCCGCGGUAAUACGCAGGGUGCGAGCGUUGUCCGGAAUUACUGGGCGUAAAGGGCUCGUAGGUGGUUUGUCGCGUCGUCUGUGAAAUUCUGGGGCUUAACUCCGGGCGUGCAGGCGAUACGGGCAUAACUUGAGUGCUGUAGGGGUAACUGGAAUUCCUGGUGUAGCGGUGAAAUGCGCAGAUAUCAGGAGGAACACCGAUGGCGAAGGCAGGUUACUGGGCAGUUACUGACGCUGAGGAGCGAAAGCAUGGGUAGCGAACAGGAUUAGAUACCCCUGUAGUCCCAU